rnacentral:rRNA from 1 species
GACGAACGCUGGCGGCGUGCUUAACACAUGCAAGUCGAACGGUGAAGCGCCUUCCUUUUUGGUGGGUGUGGAUGAGUGGCGAACGGGUGAGUAACACGUGGGUAACCUGCCCCCUUCUUCUGGAUAACCGCAUGAAAGUGUGGCUAAUACGGGAUAUUCUGGGUCUGUCGCAUGAUGGGUCUGGGAAAGAUAUUGUUUCGGUGGGGGAUGGGCUCGCGGCCUAUCAGCUUGUUGGUGGGGUGAUGGCCUACCAAGGCGGUGACGGGUAGCCGGCCUGAGAGGGUGGACGGUCACACUGGGACUGAGACACGGCCCAGACUCCUACGGGAGGCAGCAGUGGGGAAUAUUGCACAAUGGGCGCAAGCCUGAUGCAGCGACGCCGCGUGAGGGAUGGAGGCCUUCGGGUUGUGAACCUCUUUCGCCAGUGAAGCAGGCCUGCCUCGUUUGUGGGUGGGUUGACGGUAGCUGGAUAAGAAGCGCCGGCUAACUACGUG